CCUACGGGUGGCAGCAGUGAGGAAUAUUGGUCAAUGGACGAGAGUCUGAACCAGCCAAGUAGCGUGAAGGAUGACUGCCCUAUGGGUUGUAAACUUCUUUUAUAUGGGAAUAAAACGUUCCACGUGUGGGAUUUUGUAUGUACCAUAUGAAUACGGAUCGGCUAACUCCGUGCCAGCAGCCGCGGUAAUACGGAGGAUCCGAGCGUUAUCCGGCUUUAUUGGGUUUAAAGGGGGCGUAGGUGGAUUGUUAAGUCAGUUGUGAAAGUUUGCGGCUCAACCGUAAAAUUGCAGUUGAAACUGGCAGUCUUGAGUACAGUAGAGGUGAGCGGAAUUCGUGGUGUAGCGGUGAAAUGCUUAGAUAUCACGAAGAACUCCGAUUGCGAAGGCAGUUCACUGGACUGCAACUGACACUGAGGCUCGAAAGUGUGGGUAUCAAACAGGAUUAGAUACCCCUGUAGUC
rnacentral:rRNA from 1 species